UUAGCCAUUUUUGUUAAUUUAAACAAACAAAAUUAUGAUUUUUGAUACUUGGUGUUAUCACACAAGUUUGCUAACUUCUUCUACAUUAGCAUGCUAACAUUUUGGCUAAUUUUGUUAAUUUGAACAUAAAAAUCAUGAUUUUUGAUACUUGGUGUUAUACAAGUAUGCUAUCUUCUUCUACAUUUUAGUUAUUUUUGUCCAUUUAUAAAUAAGAAAUCGUGAUUUUUGAUACUUUGUGCCAUCAUACAAGAAUACUAACUUUUUCUCCAUUAGCAAGCUAACAUUUCUUGUUAGCAUUUUAGCUAUUUUUGUUCAUUUAAACAUAAGAAAAUCAUGAUUUUUGAUACUUGGUGUCAUUAUACGAGUAUGCUAACUUCUACAUUAGCAUGCUCAUGUUUUAUGCUAGCAUUUUAGCUAUUUUUGUUUGUUUGAACAUAAAAAUCAUGGUUUUUGAUACUCUGUGCCAUCAUACAAGUAUGUUAACUUUUUCUCCAUUAGCAUGCUAACUUUAAAUGCUAGAAUUUUAGCUACAUACAAAUAGCAUACUAUAGUAUAUUCUAUAAUAAUACAAUACUUGCUAAUGAGAUGUAGAAAUGCUAAAAGAAAGGACAAUGUAAGAACUGGAAAGCACAGUUAUCAGCUCAAGUUUACAUUUAAAUAAUUAACGUUAACGCGCACAAAAGUACCCAAAAAUUGGUAGUGCAGCGUCUCAUAUUGAUUCCCAGGUGCUGAGAAUCGGUACUGUAUCAGUACCAUCCAUCCAUCCAUUUUUUACCGCUUAUUCCCUUUCGGGGUCGCGCCCCCUUUUUACCUUUUUGUUUUCGCCCUCUUCUUGUGCCCUUGUGUACAUUAUCCUUUCCUUCCUGUGUAACCGAGCUACUGCAUGAAACAAUUUCCCUUGUGGCUCAUAAGUAUAAGUCUAAAGUGUGUUUUUGACCUACUGUGUUGUUUGAGGAGGAAGUAGAAGGAUCCAAGAAGGUGUUGAAGACAUCCAAGGCAGAAGGCGCAGGCUUAGAACUCUCAGUCGUAGUGUUGGAGACUCCAUUGGAAACUGCCGGACUUGGACCAUCUAGAAGGGAGAAGAAGAUGAAUGCGGAUGACACUCCUCGGCUUUAGCGUGGCAGAACGACGCUCCGCCGCGCACCAAAGGUCACGCCGAGCGCCCGCAGCAGCUAAUUAUGGAGGUCCGCAGUCCCGAUGUUUGUGAAGGUGGAAGAGGCUGGCUUCCGAGGGCGGUCCAUAUAAGGAGCAGAUGUUAAUUAUAUGGUCGGCGUUCUGCUCAGGGUCACCACAGUUGCAUGCCGCACUGUCCGCCAAGCCCCACAUCUUCAUUGAUGACCCAAAGCGACCGACCCCAGUCCAUAGACGGUUCAGCAUGGGUCAUUGCUGGUGUGGUAGGUCGUCUCCUCCGAUUGCACCAUUUCCUGGGUCCCAAAUGUAGCGGU